GCUCACCCUACGGUCUAGAGAGCAAAUUGGGCAGUUACAAAUUGAUAGUUCCGUUUCCCAAAACAGGUAGCGCGAAAUUUCGCCUGCAACUGCAACAAACUCCAUUGAAAUAAAAAGUCUCUCUGCGCUUCUUUUACCCAAUGGCUUUUCUCGGAUCCAAUAUAUCAAGCGAGGUUGGGCUGCGGUUACUUCUUUGCCCACUUGGUUCUAAUGUUGUAAUUCGAACAGCAUGCUGUUCUGUUGGGGUUAUUUUACCUGUGUACUCUACAUUCAAGGCAAUUGAGAGGAAAGAUCAAAAUGAGCAACAAAAAUGGCUAAUAUAUUGGGCAGGUAGUAGGUUCCUGUCACUUACUGGUUGUGUUGGUAAUCUGAGGAUAUGUUACUUGCCGUAUUUACUUUCUUCCCAUAAUUGUAGCAUAUGGUUCUCUCAGCCUUGUGGAAGCAUUUUCAGACAAGUUACUCUCAUGGUACAGUUCUGAACCUUCAAUGUUUUAUUUCUAAAUUCUGCACGAUUCCAUUUUUUGUGUUAGACAUGCUCAUGCUCUAGAGCCAAAAGAUAACCACACUUGCAUGCAUGCUUGCCUUGUAUAUUUGUAGAUUGUGAUUUGUAGGAAUGUUUGAAAAAAAAAAAGGAGAGAGAUUUUGUGUAAUACGUUCUUUGGUCCUUUUUCAAAAUCAAAUACUUUGAUCCCUGAGUUUUAUACAAUUUGACACCUAAUUUAUAGACCAAAGUUAUGUAUUAUUAACCAGAAUUAGUAUUUUUUUUUGGACCAAUAUUUUAGCCUAUUAAGGACCAAAAGUGUUGAAUUUUAUAAAAUUGUGAUUUUUAGAAAAUUGAAGGGUUAAGGAGUUAAAUUUUGGAAAAAGCAAGUCCAAAGUUUAUAUUUGACUAAAUUUUAGUAUUUUUGGUAUUUUUUUUCUUGGCUCUGUUAUUCCUUUUGUGUUAUUAACCAAACCUGUCUUUUUUGGACCAAUUUUUAGCCUAUCGAGGACCAAAAUGUUGAUUUUUGGAAAAUAGAAGGUUUAAAGUGUUUGAUUUUGGAAAAAAGCAAGGUCCAAAGUUUAUGAUAGGCCAAAUUUUAGUAUUUUUUGUAAUUUUUUUUUUCUUAAUUCUGUUAUUCCUUGAUAACUGAUUUCCUUUUUGUGCAGGGUUCCAAUGUAUUAUCAUGUGAAGUUUGCAUUUCUAGUGUGGCUUCAACUUCCAUCCACUGAAGGCGCAAUGUAUUUGUAUAGGAACCACCUGCGUCCUUUCUUCUCCAGACAUCAAGCUAGAGUUGAUCUGCUUAUGGGUUUUGCUUAUGGUGAAAUGGUAUAUCCCCCGGAUGGUAUAAUGUUUUGGGAGUUGACAUAGUUCAAGACCUUAAUUCCUCCUUCUCCGAUUCUAUUUUUCUUAGAAUUAGAUCAAAUUUGGGAAAUUGUGCUUGUGCGGAUUCGUUAAUUUUCUAUGUUCCAUCUGUUGAUUGAAAAUCCAGAUUUAUGGUAGCUUUUUUCUUCAAAUUUGCAGGCCAAAAUUGUCAGCACACACCGAGCAGAAAUUGAAUAUGCUAGAGCUAUAAUCUUGAAGAUUAUGGGUUCAGGUUAGUAUGACGCUGAUCUGCAUGACUAGCUUGUUCAUAUCACUAAUUCCUAUUUUGGCCAACAUCAAAAUUCAUUCUGUACAGCUGACCAAACGAGUAAGGGCGAGUCUGAUCGUUCUAAAGAGCACCUGGCAAUUGAAGGCGGGACAAGGACAAGCGCAGACACUGAAUCUGAUUUUGACGAUUGACUCAACUCAACACUUGUUGUUCAUUUGCAUGAUUUUAAAUCCUUGAAUUUUUAUUUUUAAAUUUACUUGUAAAAGGACAGAAAGGAAUUGGAUUGGUGUUUUUUGAACAAAACCAGAGAGAAAAUAAUAGAUGAUUACCAAGUACCCUGAAUGAAUAAAUAUGUGUAUUUAAUAUUUU
rnacentral:misc_RNA from 1 species